GAUGAACGCUGGCGGCGUGCCUAAUACAUGCAAGUCGAGCGAACAGACGAGGAGCUUGCUCCUCUGACGUUAGCGGCGGACGGGUGAGUAACACGUGGAUAACCUACCUAUAAGACUGGGAUAACUUCGGGAAACCGGAGCUAAUACCGGAUAACAUGUUGAACCGCAUGGUUCAACAGUGAAAGACGGUCUUGCUGUCACUUAUAGAUGGAUCCGCGCCGCAUUAGCUAGUUGGUAAGUUAACGGCUUACCAAGGCAACGAUGCGUAGCCGACCUGAGAGGGGGAUAGGCCACACUGGAACUGAGCCACGGUCCAGACUCCUACGGGAGGCAGCAGUAGGGAAUCUUCCGCAAUGGGCGAAAGCCUGACGGAGCAACGCCGCGUGAGUGAAGAAGGUCUUCGGAUCGUAAAACUCUGUUAUUAGGGAAGAACAAAUGUGUAAGUAACUAUGCACGUCUUGACGGUACCUAAUCAGAAAGCCACGGCUAACUACGUG
rnacentral:rRNA from 1 species